GGGGGAUAAAUUAAUAAAGUAUAAAUAAUAAAAAAAUUUUUAAUAUUAAAAUAUUUUAAUGGGGGUUAAAGUAUAUUUAAUAGAAAAAAUAAAAAAAUUUAUAGAAAAUUAGUAUUGUAAAAGAAAUUUGAAAUAUAUUGAAAAUAAAUUUAUUUUAAAGUAAAUUUAAUUUAUUGUAUCUUGUGUAUCAGAGUUUAUUAAUAAUAAUUUUUUUUUAAAAAUUUUCUCGAAUUUAAAAGAGAUAAUUAAUUAUAAAAAUUAAUGUUGUAUAAUUAUUUUAAAUAAUUAAUUGGAAAUGAAAUGUUAAUCGUUUUUAAAUAUAUCUAGUUUUUUUAGAAAAAAAUUUAAUUUUAAAUUUUAAAAAAUAUAAUUUUAAUUAAUUAAAAUUAUAUUUUUAAAAUUAAAUAUUUUAAGGGAUAAGCUUUAAAAUAAAUUUUUAUAAUAAAUUUUAAUAUUAGUUAAAAUUUUUAAAAUUUAUAUUGUUUAUAAAUUAUAAUUUUUUAUAAAUAAUUUUAAUUAAAUUAAAAUUUCAAAAUUUAUUUAAUUUUUUAUUAAAAAAUAUUUUUUAAUAAUUUAAAUUUAGAUAUAAUGAUAAAAUUAGUAUAUAAAUAAAUAAAUGAAAUUUAUUAUUUGAUAAUUUAAUAAAAGGAAUUCGGCAAAAAUUUAUAUUCACUUGUUUAUCAAAAACAUGUCUUUUUGAUUAAUAAUUUAAAGUCUAAUCUGCCCACUGAUAAUAAAUUAAAGGGCUGCAGUAUUUUGACUGUACAAAGGUAGCAUAAUCAUUAGUCUUUUAAUUGGUGACUUGUAUGAAGGAUUUGAUGAAAUAUAUACUGUCUCUUUUUAAUUUAUAAAAUUUAAUUUUUUAGUUAAAAAGCUAAAAUGUAUUUAAAAGACGAGAAGACCCUAUAGAGUUUUAUACUCAUUUAAAUUAAAAUUUUUUAUAAGAUUUAAAAUUUUAAUUUAAAUGAGUAUUUUGUUGGGGUGAUAGAAAAAUUAAAAUAACUUUUUUUAUAAUUUUACAUUAAUAAAUGAAUAAAUGAUCCGUAAUUUACGAUUAUAAGAUAAAAUUACCUUAGGGAUAACAGCGUAAUUUUUUUUUUUAGUUCAAAUAAGAAAAAAAGUUUGCGACCUCGAUGUUGGAUUAAGAUAAAAUUUAAAUGCAAAAGUUUAAAAUUUUUGAUCUGUUCGAUCAUUAAAAUCUUACAUGAUCUGAGUUCAAACCGGUGUAAGCCAGGUUGGUUUCUAUCUUUAGAUUAAUAAAAUAUUUUAGUACGAAAGGAUCAAAUAUUUAAAAUAGUUUUAUUUGGAAGAAUUUUAAUAAUAGUAGAUAUUUUUAAAUAUA
rnacentral:rRNA from 1 species